ensembl:misc_RNA 7SK 7SK RNA
AAAAGUCAAGGGUGAUCUGGCUGAGACAUCUGUCACUCCACUGAUCACCAGAUUUGAUUUAGCUGAUCUGACUGGCUAGGCAGGGAGGUGUCCCCUUCCUCCCUCACUACUUCACGUGCAUCCCUCCGGAAGCUGCACGCUUGAUCAAAUAGGAUGACCUUCCCCGAAUAAAGAUGGACCAGUCUUCAGUUGAGGGCAUACAAGUAGCUGCGAUCUCCUGCGAGAACCUCCAAACAGGCUCUCAAGUUGUUUCAGAAGGGGGCAGGUGGUGGCAUACCUGGAUAAGAGCACACAUUACAGUGCACAAAGACCCAGGUUCAAGCCUUUGGUG